rnacentral:rRNA from 1 species
AAAGCAUAUAACGGAUGCCUUGACUUAGAGUUCCGAAGAAGGACGUGGGAAACUGCGAUAAGCCUCGACGAGUUGUUAACAAGCGUUGACUCGGGGAUUUCCGAAUGGGGAAACCCGCAUAGAUUCAUAUUUAUGCAUUCAUAGCUGAACACAUAGGCUAUGUAAAGGAUACACAGAGAACUGAAACAUCUCAGUACCUGUGGACAAGAAAUCAAUCGAGAUUCCCUUAGUAGUGGCGAACGAACGGGGAGAAGCCCAAACCGUCUUUAUGGCGGGGUUGUAGGACUCCAAUAUGACGAAAUUUUGCAUAGACAAAGAGAACUGGAAAGUUCCGCCGAAGAAGGUGAUAGCCCUGUAGUUGAAAUGUAGAAAUAGUCUAGGAUGAUCCUGAGUAAGGUCGGACACGUGUAAUCUGGCCCGAAGCAGGGGGGACCACCCUCCAAGGCUAAAUAGACUCUAAGAUCGAUAGUGAACUAGUACCGUGAGGGAAAGGUGAAAAGAACCCCGGGAGGGGAGUGAAAUAGAACCUGAAAUUAUAUGCUUAUAAAGAGUCGGAGCUUCACGCUUGCGUGUUAGUGACGGCGUGCUUUUUGUAGAACGAAUGAGCGAGUUAGUUGUAUGUGGCAAGGAUAAGUCAGUAAUAGACGAAUCCGUAGCGAAAGCGAGUCUUAAUAGGGCCAUUAAGUCGCAUGCACUAGACCCGAAACUAGGUGAGCUAUCCAUGGUCAGGUUGAAGCGAUGGUAAGACAUCGUGGAGGACCGCACACGGACGUGUUGCAAGACGUCGUGAUGAACUGUGGAUAGGGGUGAAAAGCCAAUCGAACCUAGAGAUAUCUGGUUCUCUCCGAAAUAGCUUUAGGGCUAGCCUUGAGCGUUAAAUUAUGGGGGUAGAGCACUGUCAAGACUAGGGCUUCCCAAAAGAGGUACCAACUCUUAACAAACUUCGAAUACCAUAAUGUACUUCUCAGGAGUCAGACUGUGACAGCUAAGUGCCAUAGUCGAAAGGGAAACAGCCCAGAUCGCCAUCUAAGGUCCCUAAUAGAAUUUAAGUGGGAAAGGAUGUGAGAGUGUUAAAACAACCAGGAGGUUGGCUUAGAAGCAGCCAUUCCUUUAAAGAGUGCGUAAUAGCUCACUGGUCGAACGCUCUUGCGCCGAAAAUGUAACGGGGCUAAAUUUCUAACCGAAGAUGCGGAUUAUACAAUUUAUUGUAUAGUGGUAGGAGAGCGUUGUAUUCAGCGUUGAAGUCGAAAUGCGAGUUUCGGUGGAGUGGAUACAAGCGAAAAUGCUCAUAUGAGUAAGUAAAAUAAAUGUGAAAACCAUUUACACCGUAAGACCAAGGUUUCCCACGCAACGACAAUCGACGUGGGGUUAGUCGGUCCUAAGACGAGGUCGAAAGACGUAGCCGAUGGACAUCUGGUUAAUAUUCCAGAACCAGUAUAUUUCCGCCCAACACAAUCCAUUUUGAAUAUUUUUUCAAGUUGAAUUCUUCUUUACUUUGUAAUCAAGUUUUUAACAGAAAGAAGGCUAGAAGUGAGGCGUGAGCAACGGAGUGACGCAUUUUGAUAGUCAGAGCCUAUUAAUGAAUUUAGGUGUAAGUGUCUAGGUGUUGAUUCUUGUAGGUAAAUCCGCAGGAAGAGCUGAAGCACGAUGCCGAAUCGCUAUCGCAAGAUAGCAUAAGUCUGGUGAGUCAAGGUGACUAGAAAACCUUCUAGCGAGGAAAUAUGCUGACCGUACCGCAAACCAACGCAGGUGGUCGAGUCGAGUAGACUCAGGUGCUCGGGAAAACUAGCGUAAAGGAACUCGGCAAAAUAGCGUCCGUAACUUCGGGAUAAGGACUGCUCUCAUUUUUAAUAUCGAGAGCCGCAGUAAAAGAGCGCAGGCGACUGUUUAUCAAAAACACAGGUCUCUGCAAACUCCCAAAGAGGAAGUAUAGGGGCUGACCCCUGCCCAGUGCCAGAAGGUUACGAGGAGAGGUUCACGCUUCGAAUCUAAGCCCUGGUGAACGGCGGCCGUAACUAUAACGGUCCUAAGGUAGCGAAAUUCCUUGUCGGGUAAGUUCCGACCCGCACGAAUGGGGUAACGGUCUGCGCACUGUCUCUACGCUAGACCCGCUGAAAUUGCAGUACCGGUAAAAAUGCCGGUUAAUCACAGUCAGACGGAAAGACCCUAUGGAGCUUUACUAUAGCUUGACAUUGAGUCUGAAUAUAUUAUGUGUAGGAUAGGUGGGAGACUUUGAAGCAAGAACGCCAGUUUUUGUGGAGUCAUCCUUGAAAUACCACCCUUAAUAUAUUUAGCCUCUCACCGAGUCCGUUAUCCGGAUUUUGGGACAGUGUUUGGUGGGUAGUUUAACUGGGGCGGUUGCCUCCGAAAGAGUAACGGAGGCGCGCAAUGGUUGACUUGCCGCGAAUGGAAACCGCGGUGGACGUGUAUACGCAUAAGUCAGCCUAACUGCAAGGCCUACAAGCCGAGCAGAGACGAAAGUCGGUGUAAGUGAUCCGGUAUCACCACGUGGGUGGGAUAUCGCUCAACGGAUAAAAGUUACCCUAGGGAUAACAGGCUGAUUUCCCCCAAGAGCUCACAUCGACGGGGAAGUUUGGCACCUCGAUGUCGGCUCGUCGCAUCCUGGGGCUGGAGAAGGUCCCAAGGGUAUGGCUGUUCGCCAUUUAAAGCGGUACGCGAGCUGGGUUCAGAACGUCGUGAGACAGUUUGGCCCCUAUCUGCUGUGAUCGUUGGAGAAUUGAGAAGAGCUGCUCCUAGUACGAGAGGACCGGAGUGGACGAACCACUGGUGUAUCGAUUGUUCCUGUCAAGGGCAUUGUCGAGUAGCUACGUUCGGAAUGGAUAACCGCUGAAAGCAUCUAAGCGGGAAGCCAACUUCAAGAUAAAUUUUCCCUAUAGCCUCCUGGGAGAACACCAGGUUGAUAGGUGCUCGGUGUACGCAUAGCGAUAUGUUAAGCCUAGGCAUACUAACAGGCAAUUGCUUUUUUA